GGAAUAUUGGGCAAUGGGCGCAAGCCUGACCCAGCGACGCCGCGUGAGGGAUGAAGGCCUUCGGGUUGUAAACCUCUUUCAGUAGGGAAGAAGCGAAAGUGACGGUACCUAAAGAAGAAGCACCGGCUAACUAUGUGCCAGCAGCCGCGGUAAUACAUAGGGUGCAAGCGUUGUCCGGAAUUAUUGGGCGUAAAGAGCUCGUAGGUCGUUUGCCGCGUCGAUUGUGAAAAUCUGAGGCUCAACCUCAGACCUGCAGUCGAUACGGGCAAACUAGAGUGUGGUAGGGGAGACUGGAAUUCCUGGUGUAGCGGUGGAAUGCGCAGAUAUCAGGAGGAACACCAAUGGCGAAGGCAGGUCUCUGGGCCAUAACUGACACUGAGGAGCGAAAGCGCGGGGAGCGAACAGGAUUAGAUACCCUGGUAGUCCGCGCCGUAAACGAUGGGCACUAGCUGUGAGAGCCUUCCACGGUUCUCGCGACGCAGCAAACGCAUUAAGUGCCCCGCCUGGGGAGUACGAUCGCAAGAUUAAAACUCAAAGGAAUUGACGG
rnacentral:rRNA from 1 species